UUUGUGUAUAUGUCUUGUCCUUUUUUUGUCCUUAUUUUUUUUCCUUUAGGUUGUGCGGCCCAGGACUUGGCCAUACCAGGUAUAUAUGUUAUUGUUAAGGUCUUUUGUGUAUAUGUCUUGUCCUUUUUUUUUCCUUUAGGUUGUGCGGCCCAGGACUUGGCCAUACCAGGUAUAUAUGUUAUUGUUAAGGUCUUUGUGUAAGUCUCAUGUCCUUUUUUUGCCCCUAUUUUUUUCCUUUAGGUUGUGCAGCCCAGGACUUGGCCAUACCAGGUAUAUAUGUUAUUGUUAAGGUCUUUGUGCAUUUCUCAUGUCUUUUUGCCCCUAUUUUUUUUUCUCUUUAGGUUGUGCAGCCCAGGACUUGGCCAUACCAGGUAUAUAUGUUAUUGUUAAGUCUUUUGUGUAUAUGUCUUGUCCUUUUUUUUUCCUUUUUUUUUUAGGUUGUGCGGCCCAGGACUUGGCCAUACCAGGUAUAUAUGUUAUUGUUAAGGUCUUUGUGUAAGUCUCAUGUCCUUUUUUUGCCCCUAUUUUUUUCCUUUAGGUUGUGCAGCCCAGGACUUGGCCAUACCAGGUAUAUAUGUUAUUGUUAAGGUCUUUGUGCAUUUCUCAUGUCUUUUUGCCCCUAUUUUUUUUUCUCUUUAGGUUGUGCAGCCCAGGACUUGGCCAUACCAGGUAUAUAUAUGUUAUUGUUAAGGUCUUUUGUGUAUAUGUCUUUUUGUCCUUUUUUUUUCCUUUAGGAUGUACGGCCCAGGACUUCGCCAUACCAGGUAUAUAUGUUAUUGUUAAGGUCUUUCUGUAUGUCUCAUGUCCUUUUUUUGCCUCUAUUUUUUUCCCUUUAGGUUUUGCGGCCCAGGACUUGGCCAUACCAGGUAUAUAUGUUAAUGUUAAGGUCUUUGUGUAAGUUUCAUGUCCCUUUUUUUGCCCUUAUUUUUUUCCUUUAGGUUGUACAGCCCAGGACUUGGCCAUACCAGGUAUAUAUAUUAUUGUUAAGGUCUUUGUGUAUGUUUCAUGUCUUUUUUUUGCCCCUUUUUUUCCCCUUUAGGUUGUGUGGCCCAGGACUUGGCCAUACCAGGUAUAUAUGUUAUUGUUAAGGUCUUUGUGUAUAUGUCUUGUCCUUUUUUUGUCCUUUAUUUUUUCCUUUAGGUUGUGCGGCCCAGGACUUGGCCAUACCAGGUAUAUAUGUUAUUGUUAAGGUCUUUGUGUAUAUGUCUUGUCCUUUUUUUUCCUUUAGGUUGUUUGGCCCAGGACUUGGCCAUACCAGGUAUAUAUGUUAUUGUUAAGGUCUUUGUGUAUAUGUCUUGUCCUUUUUUUGUCCUUAUUUUUUUCCUUU
rnacentral:lncRNA from 1 species